rnacentral:tRNA from 1 species
GGAGAGGUGUCCGAGUUGGCCGAAGGAGCACGCCUGGAAAGUGUGUAGGGGGUAACUCCCCUCCAGGGUUCGAAUCCCUGCCUCUCCGCCA